rnacentral:rRNA from 1 species
UACGUAGGGUCCGAGCGUUGUCCGGAGUUACUGGGCGUAAAGCGCUCGCAGGCGGUCCGAUGCGUCGUGCGUGAAAGACCCCGGCUCAACUGGGGAGGGUCGUGCGAUACGGUCGGACUCGAGGCCAGUAGGGGGACGCGGAAUUCCGGGUGUAGUGGUGGAAUGCGUAGAGAUCCGGAGGAACACCAGCGGCGAAGGCGGCGUCCUGGACUGGUACUGACGCUCAGGAGCGAAAGCGUGGGGAGCGAGUCCGG